CUUGGGCUUGAUGUUUCAAAAGUGUUCCUGGCAGUAGCUCCUGCUGUCUGUUGAUCACAGCUCUCCUGGCUGUCCAUGGUCUGUAAGAUCAGAACAUUGGAGAAUGAACAAAGGAUUGUGACUCUCCUACUGAUUAGCAGAAUGUCUGAGACAAAGGAGGUGCUUAAUGUAUGUUUGCUGAAUGAUUAGAUGGAUGAAUGAUGCCAUUAAUAAACAGAAUACAUUGAAAAGAGGACUAUAUUCAACUAGAGACUUUCCCAUCUAGAGACAGAGAAACCAUAGAAGACUGUACCCUUUAUGAUGGAAGUGCAUUCACUCUUCUCCUUCCAGC